AACGAACGCUGGCGGCAUGCCUAACACAUGCAAGUCGAACGAGACCUUCGGGUCUAGUGGCGCACGUGUGCGUAACGCGUGGGAACCUGCCCUUAGGUUCGGAAUAACUCCCCGAAAGGGGUGCUAAUACCGGAUAAUGUCUUCGGACCAAAGAUUUCUCGCCUUUGGAUGGGCCCGCGUUGGAUUCGCUAGUUGGUAGGGUAAAAGCCUACCAAGGCGAAGAUCCAUAGCUGGUCUGAGAGGAUGAUCAGCUACACUGGGACUGAGACACGGCCCAGACUCCUACGGGAGGGAGCGGUGGGGAAUAUUGGACGAUGGGCGAAAGCCUGAUCCAGCAAUGCCGGGUGAGUGAUGAAGGCCUUAGGGUUGUAAAGCUCUUUUACCCGGGAUGAUAAUGACAGUACCGGGAGAAUAAGCUCCGGCUAACUCCGUG
rnacentral:rRNA from 1 species